rnacentral:rRNA from 1 species
UACAGAGGGUGCGAGCGUUAAUCGGAAUCACUGGGCUUAAAGCGUUCGUAGGCGGAUGUGCAGGCAUGUUGUGAAAUCCCAUGGCUCAACCAUGGAAUUGCUUCGUGAACCGCACGUCUCGAGGUAGGUAGAGGCGGUCGGAACGCUAGGUGGAGCGGUGAAAUGCGUAGAUAUCUAGCGGAACGCCGAAGGAGAAGUCAGGCCGCUGGGCCUUACCUGACGCUGAGGCACGAAAGCGUGGGGAGCAAACGGG